GGUGGAGAAUUCCAAAGGGAUCGCAUUGAUCCGAUUCUCUCCCUGUCACAACAUAUUGAUUUCGAUCUUUUCUUCGUUGAUUAUUAAUCGGAUCAUGCGAUCUCUUCGGAAUUUUCCAU
rfam:Nelumbo nucifera unplaced genomic scaffold scaffold00079, whole genome shotgun sequence